rnacentral:tRNA from 1 species
CGCAGGUUCAAGUCCUGUUUUUCUAA